CCUACGGGAGGCAGCAGUGAGGAAUAUUGGUCAAUGGGCGCGAGCCUGAACCAGCCAAGUAGCGUGAAGGAUGACUGCCCUACGGGUUGUAAACUUCUUUUAUAAAGGAAUAAAGUGAGGCACUUGCGCCUUUUUGUACGUACUCUAUGAAUAAGGAUCGGCAAACUCCGUGCCAGCAGUCGCGGUAAUUCGGAGGAUCCGAGCGUUUUCCGGAUUGAUUGGGUUUAAAGGGAGCGGAGGGGGAACGGUAAGUCAGUAGUCAAAUUGAGGGGCUUAACCCCUUCCCGCCGUUGAAACUGGCGCUCUUGAGUGGAAGAGAGGUAUGCGGAAUGCGUGGUGUAGCGGUGAAAUGCAUAGAUAUCACGCAGAACCCCGAUUGCGAAGGCAGCAUGCCGGCUUCCGACUGACGCUGAAGCGCGAAAGCGUGGGGAUCGAACAGGAUUAGAUACCCUUGUAGUC
rnacentral:rRNA from 1 species